AAGAUCAUACUUCACAGGAUCAUUUCUGUAGUAUAUCUUCGCAUACUCUCUACUCAAACGUAGAGUUGUCGCAAUCGCGAUGACGAGGUGUGGUUUUGUAUCCUGAGCGUGAGGCAGGUGUUUAUUGAACUUCCAAAGUUCUUUACCACCAUCGAUGAUCGUUCACCUGAUUCAAUUUUGAGUCGGGCAAUGGGUGCAAAACGAUCUGAGCGAU